CUACGGGUGGCAGCAGUGGGGAAUAUUGGACAAUGGGGGAAACCCUGAUCCAGCAAUGCCGCGUGUGUGAAGAAGGCCUGCGGGUUGUAAAGCACUUUCGGUUGGGAGGACUGCUUCUAGCACUAAUAUUGUUGGAAGUUGACGUUACCUUCAGAAGAAGCACCGGCUAACUCCGUGCCAGCAGCCGCGGUAAUACGGAGGGUGCAGGCGUUAAUCGGAAUUACUGGGCGUAAAGCGCGCGUAGGCGGCUAGAUCAGUCGGGUGUGAAAGCCCCGGGCUUAACCUGGGAACUGCAUCCGAUACUGUCUAGCUUGAGUACAGGAGAGGGGGGUGGAAUUCCACAUGUAGCGGUGAAAUGCGUAGAUAUGUGGAGGAACACCAAUGGCGAAGGCAGCUCUCUGGCCUGAUACUGACGCUGAGGUGCGAAAGCGUGGGGAGCAAACAGGAUUAGAUACCCUCGUAGUC
rnacentral:rRNA from 1 species